rnacentral:tRNA from 1 species
AACACGGUGGUCUAGCGGUUAGAACGCUGGUCUCUUAAUCCUGGGGGUCUCAGGUUCGAUUCCCGGCGGUGUUG